UGCACUGAAAAAUUUGGGUGCAAUAGAUUCUCCCUGGAUUUUAUUGUUGUGUUCUUAUUGUUUUUAUUAUAAAAUUGAUUUUAUAAUGCAUUCACUUCCCGAUGAAAUGCUGGAAAAUGUUCAGGCUCAUGUAAAUCCUGUAAAACUAAUAAUAGAGCAAGGGCAACAGUUGUCAGUUUGGAGAGUGACCACACCGAUAUGUACAAUUGCAAGGGAUGCGUCAGAGGUGUACAGCCUAUUGAACUUUUUAACUCACGCAAGAAGUGAAUGCGUCAUAAAAAAGGCAACAACCAAAAAACUACUGUGUAUGCAUCUUAUUCUUGCUCUAUUUCACAAGACAAUUUCAAAUUCCAGGAAAGUAAAUUAAUGCAUUCAGAAUUUGAAACAAUUAUUUGUACUAACUACUGUGUAUGCAUCUUAUUCUUGCUCUAUUUUACAAGACAAUUUCAAAUUCCAGGAAAAUUGUAUUAUAAUUUGCGAUAUACCUAUAUGAAAGUGGCUGGAGUACACCUAGCAGGGGAAACAAGUCGGCACCCACUUUAACUCCCGAACAAUCAGGGAUUGUGAAUCAUCAAAUAGAAAGAAACCUUAUGGUUGCAUUUGCUGGCAGUGGGAAGAACUAUGCUUCUACAACUUACAGAACGUGUCAACAAAGAGAACCCCUAUUUUAGAUUUUUGUUGAUGGCGGAGAAUCAUGCAGUAUGCAAUGAAGCUGGCGGAAAAUUUCCAAACAACGUCGUUUGCAGAACCAUUUACCAGUUGGCAUAUCGCCAUAUGUAUCGUUGGUCAAGGCCUAUUGAAAAAAGAAAAGCAACGGGCAAAAUCUUCCCAACAAAUUUGAUUAACAGUGGGAUACUGAAAGAUCGGCGUGGCAUGAGAAGAUAUCAACGAGAAAAAUUGGUUAUUGAUACUCUUCAUCGCUUCUGGGGAUCAGCCGAUGAUUCCAUUACAGUUGCUCACACGCCUAUAAAAGUAAUCAGCAAUGUGUUGUCCCAAGAUAGUUCAACCGACCAACCAGUCAUCGAAAGAAUUCUUUCCGCUGAAGAACGUUAUAAAAUUGUUAGCCGCUGAUGCUAAAAAAGGUGUGGUCUGCCUAAAAAAAAACCAAACGAUGACAGAUUGAAAUUGCCCUGCGAUGCCUAUCUUAAAAUUUGUCAGUUGAAGAAACCCAAUUUAUUUGAAAGUGAUGAAGUGGACUGUAUUAUGGUAGACGAGGGGCAAGAUAUGAGUGGAGCCAUGCUUGACAUUUUUCUACGUUAUCCUGGCCCUCGGAUUAUCGUCUGUGAUCCACACCAGCAAAUCUACCGUUGGCGGUAUGCCGUGAACGCUUUGAAUAAAGUUCCUGCCACUCACACAUUUUACGUGACGCAGGCAAUAUUAUAGAAGAGUCGCAUAUCCAACAUAAUGGCCUUUAAACUCUCAAUUGUUUUUCUUAGUCCUUUCGAUUCGGACCGGAAAUAGAUUUCAUAGCAAAUUCGCUUAAAUGUCUUAAAUAAUGUCAACGACAAGUGCUUGGUGGGCAUAAAUGUUCGGGAUAGGUUAAGCAGUGCCACUUAUCCAUUGGAUAUGGCACUCAGAAGUGGUAAACAGUUUUGCUUCCUCGCUAGGACCAACUUGGCCCUUUUCAAAAAAGCGGUUCAGGUUCUUGGUUGUGACGUCGCUAGUAAUUCUCAGAAACCAAAACCAAAAAUCGUGUUUGCAGGGGGAUUAAAACCUUUGUAUUUGGAAUUGUUGCUCGACAUUAAUCGUGUACGACAAGGAGUAUUUGAUAAAAUUG